rnacentral:lncRNA from 1 species
CUUCGUCUACUGUACAGUGAGCCAGGAUCCCAGCCUAAAUUUGGACCAUGCAGUGCUUGCGUAUAGUGUGUUAUUCCUCUGCUUUUUAUUUCAUGUGUCACUUUUUUAUUUGUUUAGCGUUUUUGGUUGCUUAUACCUGCUGUGCUUAUCAUUCCAACUUGUGCUAUGUUUUAAGAUGUGCUUUAUUUUUCAUACUACGCUUUUUUAACUUUUAUAUUUCAUCUAUGGUAUUUUAAUUACAAUGCACAGUAUGUUGAAAAUUAUCGUUUUCCUGACUUUUGCA